AUGACUCAGACUAGCCAUGCACGUCUAAGUACAAACUAAAUGAUGGUGAAACUGCAAAUGGCUCAUUACAACGGUUAUGAUGUACCCGGGAGUUCCGAUGGAUAUUUCCAGUAACACUAGAACUAAUACAUGUCCCUGCGUUUAUUAGUUUCGCACAGUCCGUCGCUGAGUCAUGGUAAACAGUUGAUCGACUCGACGUCCCGGAACAGUUUCCGCCCCAUCAGCUUCGAUGGUUGGGUAUUGGCCUACCAUUGCAACAACGGGUAACGAGGAAUUAGGGUUUGAUUUCGGAGAGGGAGCCUGAGAAACGGCUACCACAUCUACGGAUGGCAGCAGGCGCGCAAAUUACCCAAUGCAGACACUGUGAGGUAGUGACGAGAAAUAAUAAAGCGGGACUUCUGUUUCGCUAUUAUAAUGAGGAAUAACCAAAGGUCAUUCCGAUUAGCAACUGAUGGGAAAGUCUGGUGCCAGCAGCCGCGGUAAUACCAGCGUCAGUAGCA
rnacentral:rRNA from 1 species